AUUGAACGCUAGCGGGAGGCUUUACACAUGCAAGUCGAACGAGAGGCGGACGGCAGAGUAAUCUAUCGGAACGUGCCCAGGAGCGGGGGAUAACUACUGGAAAGUGUGGCUAAUACCGCACACUUGUGGCUCGGCCGAUAGCGGAGUAGGUAGGUGGUGGGGCAAACGCUCACCAAGGCAACGAUCCGUAGCUGGUUUGAGAGUACGACCAGCCACACUGGGACUGAGACACGGACCAGACUCCUACGUGAGGCAGCAGUGGGGAAUUUUGGACAAUGGGGGAAACCCUGAUCCAGCCAUCCCGCGUGUAUGAGAAGGCCUUCGGUUUGUAAAGUACUUUUGGCAGAGAAGCGGUAUCUGCAGAAUAAGCACCGGCUAACUCCGUGCCAGCCGCCGCGGUAAUAC
rnacentral:rRNA from 1 species